rnacentral:rRNA from 1 species
UACGUAGGGUGCGAGCGUUAAUCGGAAUUACUGGGCGUAAAGCGUGCGCAGGCGGUUUGCUAAGACCGAUGUGAAAUCCCCGGGCUUAACCUGGGAACUGCAUUGGUGACUGGCAGGCUAGAGUAUGGCAGAGGGGGGUAGAAUUCCACGUGUAGCAGUGAAAUGCGUAGAGAUGUGGAGGAAUACCGAUGGCGAAGGCAGCCCCCUGGGCCAAUACUGGCGCUCAUGCACGAAAGCGUGGGGAGCAAACAGG